GUACUUCACUUGGUUAUACUUGUACUAUUAAGUUUAAAUUUGUGGAUUUGACACUCAGUUUAUACUUGCGAGGUAUUGCGAUGGUGGGAAGUGAACUGCAGUGGGGUUGGCAUCAACUUACCUUCUAGAUUACCAGGACCAAAGAUAGUGCCAACUUAUGAAACUUCAUCUUACCUGGUUGCAGUUAAUUAGAUUGCCUACAUCGAGUUUUCUGGUGCCCAAGCUUUCAACAAAGCAAGCCUGCAAAGGAUAUAAAGCUUAGUUGCUCUAUUUCAUCAUAAAGGGUGGAGAACAAAGCAGCUUCAAGAUUUGUAAGCUCCAUGUAUUCAAGUUUUGUAAGUUUUGUAGGCAGUUAGUAAGUUUCUAUGUGUUCUCGUAGAAAUUUGGAACCUUCCAUGUAUUCCCUUAGAAAUUUGAUACUUAACAAAAAAAAAGGGUUUGGUACUUAGAGAAAUUUCAGUUCUUUUGUUAUAUGAAUCUGAUAUGAAUUGAAUGAAUGUAAUACGAAUAGAUUGAAGAAAUUGUUGUUGAUUGUGGAUGA